UACGUAGGGUGCGAGCGUUGUCCGGAAUUACUGGGCGUAAAGAGCUCGUAGGUGGUUUGUCGCGUUGUUCGUGAAAACUCACAGCUUAACUGUGGGCGUGCGGGCGAUACGGGCAGACUGGAGUACUGCAGGGGAGACUGGAAUUCCUGAUGUAGCGGUGGAAUGCGCAGAUAUCAGGAGGAACACCGGUGGCGAAGGCGGGUCUCUGGGCAGUAACUGACGCUGAGGAGCGAAAGCGUGGGGAGCGAACAGG
rnacentral:rRNA from 1 species